rnacentral:snRNA from 1 species
UCCUCUCAAAGAAGGACAA